AUUGAACGCUGGCGGCAGGCUUAACACAUGCAAGUCGAGCGGAGAUGAGGUGCUUGCACCUUAUCUUAGCGGCGGACGGGUGAGUAAUGCUUAGGAAUCUGCCUAUUAGUGGGGGACAACAUUCCGAAAGGAAUGCUAAUACCGCAUACGUCCUACGGGAGAAAGCAGGGGAUCUUCGGACCUUGCGCUAAUAGAUGAGCCGAAGUCGGAUUAGCUAGUUGGUGGGGUAAAGGCCUACCAAGGCGACGAUCUGUAGCGGGUCUGAGAGGAUGAUCCGCCACACUGGGACUGAGACACGGCCCAGACUCCUACGGGAGGCAGCAGUGGGGAAUAUUGGACAAUGGGGGGAACCCUGAUCCAGCCAUGCCGCGUGUGCGAAGAAGGCCUUAUGGUUGUGAAGCACUUUAAGCGAGGAGGAGGCUACUGAGACUAAUACUCUUGGAUAGUGGACGUUACUCGCAGAAUAAGCACCGGCUAACUCUGUGCCAGCAGCCGCAGUAAUAC
rnacentral:rRNA from 1 species